UGUUGUGAGAAGUUCCCGGAGACACCAUUUGCUAUCCGCAUAGCCUUUAGAGAAGAUAGGAAUCGAGAUUUUGGAUUCUUGGAUUGCAUCAAAAAGUGCAGGUUGGAUCUCUUCUCCACCCCACAGUCCUUCGUUGUCUAUAAACACAUCGAUUCCUUCUCUUUCCAGAGCUUUGUGAAGGAAACCAGUGAAGUUAUUGUGUGUUUCUUCGCCUCUAAAAUUGAGGAACACAUCAUAAGUGAAUGAUCCAGAGGAUGAGGAAGAGAAAGCUCCAUCAUCAUGUGCCGCCAUGAAGUUGUUGCAGUUUGUUCAGGA